UACUUCUUUCCAAGAAAAAUAUUGAUUUAAAAAACGGACGAAAGCAAACCUGUUGAUUUUAUUACUAACGACGGAACGGAAGGCAUUAAAAUUGGAUGACGCGUAUGCGUUGCAUCUUUUCGUACAUUUUUUCAUAUUAUCAUUUAAAUUCCACACUCAGACACGACCACAAAGAUAUUUUUCAGAGAGAGAUAAUGUUGGAGGGUGCUUUUUGUUUCAUCCACAUAUUCUCAAUUUCGUUGUGGUUUUAUGGUAUUUUCAAAGAAAGGCCGUUUCUUAUGCUACCUCACGUAAUAAUGACGAUAUUCUCCCUUCUUUUGUUUGGAUCCCUAACAUUUAUUGCAUGGAUGGCAAUUUCAGAACGUUCUGACAAAUCUGCCUGGAUUUUUUUACAAUGCGCUGCUUGCGUGGGAGCCGUACUAUGUUACUCUAGUGUCGUCCAAUUUUCUUUGUACAAACAAAUUGCGGAAAGAAAUAUGAUUACUCCGGAUGCUUUUUAUGCUCCAUAGAUAGUGGCAAGCGAAAUCUUCCUUCGGACCACCUCGACAUAUCCACUCAAGGAACAAUACAUUUAAUAAGAUAUCGAAUUUUGUGUCUAUUUUGUGAAAUUAAAUGUUUCGAAUUUAAUAUUUUACUGUAUCUAUAUUCGAAU